CCUACGGGUGGCAGCAGUGAGGAAUAUUGGUCAAUGGGCGCGAGCCUGAACCAGCCAAGUAGCGUGAAGGAUGACUGCCCUACGGGUUGUAAACUUCUUUUAUAAAGGAAUAAAGUGAGGCACUUGUUCCUUUUUGUAUGUACUUUAUGAAUAAGGAUCGGCUAACUCCGUGCCAGCAGCCGCGGUAAUACGGAGGAGCCAAGCGUUAUCCGGAUUUAUUGGGUUGAAAGGGACAGUAGACGGGUUGUUAAGUCAGUUGUGAAAGUUUGCGGCUCAACCGUAAAAUUGCAAUUGAUACUGGCAGCCUUGAGUACAGGUGAGGUAGGCGGAAUUCGUGGUGUAGCGGUGAAAUGCUUAGAUAUCACGAAGAACUCCGAUUGCGAAGGCAGCUUACUAAACUGCCACUGACAUUGAUGCUCGAAAGUGUGGGUAUCAAACAGGAUUAGAUACCCGAGUAGUC
rnacentral:rRNA from 1 species